rfam:Serratia symbiotica genome assembly, type strain CWBI-2.3T, contig: SYMBAF_Contig_9
UAGGACGAUCCAACGACGCAUGGCGUAGUACCAAAAAUAUUGAGUCGAAAUAACCUUGAAAAUUUGAGGUGUGACCUCAUUUUAAUCUCCAGUAGCAAUUUCGACCCACUUUGGAGGUGUUAUGCGUCUGGAUCGUCUUAC